CCUACGGGUGGCAGCAGUGAGGAAUAUUGGUCAAUGGACGCAAGUCUGAACCAGCCAUGCCGCGUGCAGGAAGACGGCUCUAUGAGUUGUAAACUGCUUUUGUACGGGGGUAAACGCAGAUACGUGUGUCUGUCUGAAAGUAUCGUACGAAUAAGGAUCGGCUAACUCCGUGCCAGCAGCCGCGGUAAUACGGAGGAUUCGAGCGUUAUCCGGAUUUAUUGGGUUUAAAGGGUGCGUAGGCGGUCGGAUAAGUUAGAGGUGAAAUCCCGAGGCUCAACUUCGGAAUUGCCUCUGAUACUGUUAGGCUAGAGAGUAGUAGCGGUAGGCGGAAUGUGUGGUGUAGCGGUGAAAUGCUUAGAGAUCACACAGAACACCGAUUGCGAAGGCAGCUUACCAAGCUACUACUGACGUUGAGGCACGAAAGCGUGGGGAGCAAACAGGAUUAGAUACCCGGGUAGUC
rnacentral:rRNA from 1 species